GACGAACGCUGGCGGCGUGCUUAACACAUGCAAGUCGAACGGAAAGGCCCUGCUUGCAGGGUACUCGAGUGGCGAACGGGUGAGUAACACGUGGGUGAUCUGCCCUGCACUUCGGGAUAAGCCUGGGAAACUGGGUCUAAUACCGGAUAGGAGCCAUUUUUAGUGUGAUGGUUGGAAAGUUUUUUCGGUGUAGGAUGAGCUCGCGGCCUAUCAGCUUGUUGGUGGGGUAAUGGCCUACCAAGGCGGCGACGGGUAGCCGGCCUGCGAGGGUGGACGGCCACAUUGGGACUGAGAUACGGCCCAGACUCCUACGGGAGGCAGCAGUGGGGAAUAUUGCACAAUGGGCGCAAGCCUGAUGCAGCGACGCCGCGUGGGGGAGGACGGCCUUCGGGUUGUAAACUCCUUUCGCUAGGGACGAAGCUUUUUGUGACGGUACCUAGAUAAGAAGCACCGGCUAACUACGUG
rnacentral:rRNA from 1 species